CCCUUAGAUGUUCUGGGCCGCACGCGCGCUACACUGACAUGUUCAACAAGCCUCCUAGUUCGACAGGAUUUGGGAAAUCUUUGAACGCAUGUCGUGAUAGGGAUAGAUCAUUGCAAUUAUUGAUCUUGAACGAGGAAUUCCUAGUAAACGCGAGUCAUCAGCUCGCAUUGAUUACGUCCCUGCCCUUUGUACACACCGCCCGUCGCACCUACCGAUUGAAUGUUUCGGUGAAGAUUCCGGAUAGGACUUUUUUGAUUUAUUUCAAUUUUGUCUUAAAAGCUAUCUAAACCUCAACAUUUAGAGGAAGGUGAAGUCGUAACA
rnacentral:rRNA from 1 species